rnacentral:rRNA from 1 species
UACGGAGGAUGCAAGCGUUAUCCGGAAUGAUUGGGCGUAAAGCGUCCGCAGGUGGCAAUGUAAGUCUGCUGUCAAAGCGUCUGGCUCAACCAGAUAAAGGCAGUGGAAACUACAUAGCUAGAGUAAGGUAGGGGUAGAGGGAAUUCCUGGUGUAGCGGUGAAAUGCGUAGAGAUCAGGAAGAACACCGGUGGCGAAAGCGGCUCUCUGGGACGGUACUGACGCUGAGACGCGAAAGCGUGGGGAGCGAACAGG